GCUGGUAGGCCCGACUUUUGCGGAAGGGCGGUAUUUAUUAGAUAACAAGCCAAUAUUCCUCUGGUCUAUUGUGGUGACUCAUAAUAACUGAUCGAAUCGCAAGGCCUUUGGCCGCGAUAAGUCAUUCAAGUUUCUGCCCCAUCAUGCUUUCGAUGGUAGUGUAUUGGACUACCAUGGCUUUCACGGGUAACGGAGGAUUAGGGUUCGAUUCCGGAGAGGGAGCCUGAGAAACGGCUACCACUUCCACGGAAGGCAGCAGGCGCGUAAAUUACCCAAUCCUGAUUCAGGGAGGUAGUGACAAGAAAUAAUGGGUCGGGGCUAUGCCCUGAGACU
rnacentral:rRNA from 1 species